UCGCGAGCCUUCAGAGAGAGAGGACGGUCACACAAGCCUCUCUCACUUUCUCACUCUCUCUCUCUUUCUACCACCACCAUCACCACCAGCGCUCUCUCUCUCCCUCUCUCCCUCUCUCUCUCUCUCCACGCCGUCGCCUGCAGAAAAGAGAGGGGGAGAGAAGAGAAUAAAGAGAGUGAGAGAGAGGGAAGAGAUAAUAAAGAAGGAAAUAGUGAAAGAUAGAGAAAGAAAGAGAUUAAAGAUAGUGAAGAGAGAUAAUGAGAGAUAAAUUAAGGAAUUAAGGGAACAAAGCUAAUGGAAGGAAGAGAGAAGGAGAGAUAAACACGGAAGAAAAGAACAGAAGAUAAAGAAAGAAUUAGAGAAAAUAAAGAUAAUAAAAAGAGAGAGAGAGAGAGAGAGAGAGAGACAUGAAGUGUGAAAAGGUAAACAUUGUGUGCGUGUGUACGUGUGUAUGAAAGGAAGAGGAGGAGGAGGAAGAAUACGAAGAGGAAGAAGAAGAAGAAGAAGAAGAGGAAAGAAAUCGAGAGAACGAGAGAGAAUAAGUAAAUAACAACAACAAUAACAAUAAUAAUAAUAAUAAUAAUAAUAAUAAUAAUAAUAAUAAUAAUAAUAAUACGUGUAAGGUUUAUUUACGUGUAUAUUGAACCCAGUGAUAUAAUUUUGUGUAUCUAUAGAAAUUUUUAAUGUAUAAUGUAUAAUCCUAGUACUUAUACAAUACAAUACAAUACAAUAUAUACAGAGAGGCGUGGUUUACAUCUAAAACUGUAUACACACUUCAUUUAACGUGUUGUAUAGUUGUAUGCAUUGCUAAUACAUACAUACAUACAUACAUACAUACAUACAUUCAUUCAUACGUGCAUACAUUGAUUGAUAUUCAUGCUUAAUAAAUAUACAUAAACUUUUAAUACAAGUAAGAGUAACGAUAAACAAAUACAUUUAUAUACAUAACAAUAGAUAUAUGCAACACUCUCUCUCUUUCUCUCUCUCUCUCUCUUUUUUUCCCUCGCUCUAUGUAUGGUUAGUAAAGAGAAAUAUACGUAGUUAUUUACGUUAGUGAAGAUUAGGAGUAAGGAAGAAGAAGAGAACAAGAGAAGAAAGGAAGAAGAAAAGAAUUAAGAAGAGGAAGAAGAGGAAGGAGGAACAAGGAAAAAGAAAAGAGGAAAAAGAAGAAAACUAAACGAACAGGAAGAAGGAAGAAAGACAAGAAGAGGGGAAAAAAAAGAAGAGGAAGAGGAAAACAAAAACAAACUAAAAGAAAACCCAGGAGCGGUAGCAGGAGGAAGAGGAAGAGGAAGAAGAGGAGGAGGAGGAGGAGGAUCAGCACGUCUGGAAAACAGAACCACACCUGCAGAGACACACCUGAAGAACCACAUACCGUCCACACACACACACACACACACACACACACACACACACACACACACACACACACACACACACACACACACACACACACACACACACACACCUGCAAACAAACAUGAAGAUUUCAGUGAUGCAAGUGUCAACAAUGAUGAUGAUAAUGAUGGUGAUGAUGAUGAUGGUGACGACAGUGGGGGGAGGAGCCUUGGGGGGUGGAGGGGGAGGAGGUGAGGAUGAUAGGGAGGGAGGAGGAGGAGGAGGAGGAGGAGGUAGCCUUGGCCCCUCCCUUACCUCCCCCACCCUCUCCUCCCUCCCUCCCUCACCCAUCGGACGAGGAGGAGGAGGAGGAGGAGGAAGAGGAGGGGGAGGAGGAGGAGGUGAGGGAGGAGGAGGAAAGACAUCACCACCACCACCACCACCGCCGCCCUCACCACCCACACCCUCGCCGUCCUGACACCACGAGCAAGACGGCGUCAGCACCACAGCGGCUCUCCACCACCAGCACCACCAGCAGAAGCACCACCAGCACCACCAGCACCAGCACCACCACCAGCACAGCCACCCACAAGCCACACCAAAAGCACACGAAGCGAAAGAAAAAGACAGAAAGAAAACGAAAGACUGAGAACACAGGGACGAGCGAGGCGGAGAAGCGACCACGACAAACAUCAAAGGACUUUCAGGGACACCACGCCCUUAGGAACCCCAGUAGGACCUCGCUGGAUGCUAGAACUGAAUUCCUAGAAGGGCCUAGAGUUUUGCCAGUGACGGAGGGGAAGAAUAGGCCUGAUUCCUCGUCAAAUUUAGGCCUACCGAAGGAGCUACUGCCGAUACAUCCCGGAGGAGGGUCAAAAUUUGAAGACCUUGAGAGGGAGAAGCUGGAGAACUCAAAGAUGGCGCAGAAGAAGGCAACGAAGGAGGAGGAGGAGAUGGCAAACGCGUCCUCCCAUGAUCCUGAGGGCCUAUACAGCGCGGCGCCCUCUUUGUGUCUCUCUUCGCUUAUCUUCUCCUUCGCCUCCUUCAGGUUGCUCCUCUGAUGAACUCUCUCUCUCUCUCUCUCUCUCUCUCUCUCUCUCUCUCUCUCUCUCUCUCUCUCUCUCUCUCUCUCUCUCUCUCUCUCUCUCUAUGAUUACUCAAAAUAAAGGCUGUUGAUAUAAUGACUAUGUUAACACACACACACACACACACACACACACACACACACACACACACACA